rnacentral:rRNA from 1 species
UACGGAGGUGCGAGCGUUAUCCGGAUUUACUGGGUUUAAAGGGUGUGUAGGCGGGCUGGUAAGUUAGGGGUGAAAUCCCGGAGCUCAACUCCGGAACUGCCUUUGAUACUACUGGUCUUGAAUAUUGUUGAGGUAGGCGGAAUGUGUCAUGGUAGCGGUGAAAUGCAUAGAUAUGACACAGAACACCGAUUGCGAAGGCAGCUUACUGGGCAAUGAUGACGCUGAGGCACGAAAGCGUGGGGAUCAAACAGG